ensembl:lncRNA
AAAAAAUGCAAACCCCGACUCUGGCUGGCCAGUGCAGUAGAAAGACAUUUAUUUACACCAUCUCGAACUAUGUAGCAUAUGUUUGUUUGUGAGCCCAGCCUUUAACAACUGAGCCACCUCUUCUGUCUCGCUAUUAUACACAGUUUUUGUGUUGCUGGGGAUCAAACCCAGAGCUUUGUGCAUGGUAGUCAGGCUUUCUACCGGAUAACUCUAGCAGUAACUCAGUUUUUCAAAAGUUUAUUUUAUUUUGGGGUAUGUGCACGUGAGUGUGGGUGUGUAUGGGCCACCAUGUUUAUCUGGAGGUCUGAGGACAACUUUUAGGAGUAAAUCGUGUUCAGGAGUGGAACUCCCAUCCUCAGCUGGUGAGGCAAGUUCAUUCUUCUUAUACGGGGUCUAGUUAUGUAGCUGUUUAACUUGGGCUGCCCUUGACCUUGAACUCAUAGCAGCAGUUCAGCUUCUGUGGACUGAGAGCUACUGGGAUCUCAGCCUCCUGGUGUGCAGAUGUCCACAACGUACCACAGGCGCUCUCUUUUCUCUGCUGAUUCCUGACUGUGGAACAACAUGGCAUCAGGAAGAAACUGCUCCUCCACACAUCACCUGUCAGUCUGGAGAUAGCAACUCACCGUCCUCCGAAGACGUGGCAGAAUACACUGUUGGCCACAGAGUUCAUUCCACCCUUUUAGGAAACCCCUUGACUGACUGUGUGGUGGAGAGCUGAGCCCGUGUGGGAGCGGACACACCAGAAUUGUUUCAAUCUCGUUAUCUUCUCUGAGCCGCAGUCAUCUCAGGUCUGGUCCCCUGAGGCUGGUGAACUUGCCCGGGAGCCCAUCCGAAUAAACCUGUCUAUUUCUUCAGCAGAGAAAACCGACUGACUAUCUCAUGAAGUGGGAACUUGAGGAUUCUUUGGAAAGUUGGUUAGAUGGUGUUUUGCUGGGGCAAAUAUGUGAAGGAACGUUUUGCUGAAGCAGACACAGGAGAAAGGAUGUUCUGCUAAAGCAAGCACAUGAAGGACAUGUGAUGAAGGAUUCUUUGCUAAUGACACACAUGUAUUGGUUCGCCUUACAUUGUGUAGUUGAGCUGCAUUUUUGUCGAGACACCAUAGAAGAAACGCACCCAAAAAUUCCUGAUGGUAUGCUGCAGACAUUGCUGCUUCUGCAGACUUGGGCUGAUUGGCAGAGUGAUGCCGGCUAAGACAGACACACGUGCUAAAGCAAGACCUGUGGAGGACACGAGAUGUUUGGAGGGUAUAAAUAGGAC